rnacentral:rRNA from 1 species
GUGAGGAAUAUUGGUCAAUGGGCGGAAGCCUGAACCAGCCAAGUAGCGUGCAGGAUGACGGCCCUAUGGGUUGUAAACUGCUUUUAUACAGGAAUAAAGUUAGCCACGUGUGGUUAUUUGUAGGUACUGUAUGAAUAAGGACCGGCUAAUUCCGUGCCAGCAGCCGCGGUAAUACGGAAGGUCCAGGCGUUAUCCGGAUUUAUUGGGUUUAAAGGGAGCGUAGGCCGUCUGUUAAGCGUGUUGUGAAAUGUAGAUGCUCAACAUCUGAAUUGCAGCGCGAACUGGCAGACUUGAGUGUGCGCAACGUAGGCGGAAUUCGUGGUGUAGCGGUGAAAUGCUUAGAUAUCACGAAGAACUCCAAUUGCGAAGGCAGCUUACGGGAGCACAACUGACGCUGAAGCUCGAAAGUGCGGGUAUCGAACAGGAUUAGAUACCCGAGUAGUCC